GCUUUCAGCACCAGAGCAGCCUGAUUGCACCCGAGCCCAGAAGCUAAGUAGGGUUGUUCCCGGCUGAGGAUUGGAUGGGGGACUGUCUGCAGACACUGGGGACUGGAGGCU
ensembl:rRNA 5S_rRNA 5S ribosomal RNA